rnacentral:snRNA from 2 species
UAAAUAAAAUAAAACUGGAAUAAUACAGAGAAGAUUAGCAUGGCUCCUGUGCCAUUAGGAUGGCGAGCAAAUUCGUGUUUUAAAAAAUAAAAAU